GGUCAAGCUGGGCACUCUGAGGAGACUGCCGGUGAUAAACCGGAGGAAGGUGGGGAUGACGUCAAGUCAGCAUGGCCUUUAUGUCCAGGGCUACACACGUGCUACAAUGGCCGAUACAAAGCGUCGCAAUCUCGCAAGAGUGAGCUAAUCGCAGAAAGUCGGUCUCAGUUCGGAUUGUAGGCUUCAGAAGAGCCUGCAUGAAGUUGGAAUCGCUAGUAAUCGCGGAUCAGCAUGCCGCGGUGAAUACGUUCCCG
rnacentral:rRNA from 1 species